rnacentral:rRNA from 1 species
CGGCAGCAUGAUCUAGCUUGCUAGAUUGAUGGCGAGUGGCGAGUGAGUAAUACAUCGGAACGUGCCCUGUAUGGGGGAUAACUAGUCGAAAGAUUANCUAAUACCGCAUACGACCUGAGGGUGAAAGUGGGGGACCGCAAGGCCUCAUGCUAUAGGAGCGGCCGAUGUCUGAUUACUAGUUGGUGGGGUAAAGGCCCACCAAGGCGACGAUCAGUAGCUGGUCUGAGAGGACGAUCAGCCACACUGGGACUGAACACGGCCCAGACUCCUACGGGAGGCAGCAGUGGGGAAUUUUGGACAAUGGGCGAAAGCCUGAUCCACAAUGCCGCGUGUGUGAAGAAGGCCUUCGGGUUGUAAAGCACUUUUGUCCGGAAAGAAAUGGCUCUGGUUAAUACCUGGGGUCGAUGACGGUACCGGAAGAAUAAGGACCGGCUAACUACGUGACAGCAGCCGCGGUAAUACGUAGGGUCCAAGCGUUAAUCGGAAUUACUGGGCGUAAAGCGUGCGCAGG